rnacentral:rRNA from 1 species
GAUGAACGCUAGCGGCAGGCCUAAUACAUGCAAGUCGAACGAGAUUAAGAGGCUUGCUUCUUAUGAAAGUGGCGCACGGGUGCGUAACGCGUAUGCAACCUACCUUAAUCAGGGGGAUAGCCCGAAGAAAUUCGGAUUAAGACCGCAUAAAAACACAGGAUAGCAUUAUCCAAUGUUCAAAUAUUUAUAGGAUUAAGAUGGGCAUGCGUGUCAUUAGCUAGUUGGCGGGGUAACGGCCCACCAAGGCGACGAUGACUAGGGGAUCUGAGAGGAUGACCCCCCACACUGGUACUGAGACACGGACCAGACUCCUACGGGAGGCAGCAGUAAGGAAUAUUGGUCAAUGGAGGGAACUCUGAACCAGCCAUGCCGCGUGCAGGAAGACAGCCCUCUGGGUCGUAAACUGCUUUUAUUCGGGAAUAAACCUUUCUACGUGUAGGAAGCUGAAUGUACCGAAGGAAUAAGGAUCGGCUAACUCCGU